CUUUUUUAGGGCUGCACCUGCAGCACAUGGGGGUUCCCAGGCUAGGGGUCGAAUUGGAGCUGCAGCUGCUGACCUACACCACAGCCACAGCAACACAGGAUCCAAGCCAUGCCUGUGACCUACACCACAGCUCACGGCAAUGCUGGAUCCUUAACCCACUGAGCAAGGCCAGGGAUCGAACCCACAACCUCGUGGUUCCUAGUCAGAUUUGUUUCUGCUGCGCCACAGUGGGAACUCCCUGAAGAUGAUCUUUGUCUAUUUUCUGUGUAACUUCCAUUGUUCCAUGCAGUGCUUUGUGCUCUUCCUGGUGACUCUGAUACCAAAAUGCAGUGGGCAGAAGUAUUUAGAAUUCUUUCCUGGGACUGACAUCCAGUGUAUGCCCUGCUCCUUUGGCUUUGCUAACUGGUGCCCUGUACUCUGCUGGAUAGUGACAGUUUUAUCUUAUAAUAUCUACAAGAAAAUGCAAUGAAAUCCUUAAAAUGCUAACUUGUUGAGGUUUAGUUUAAGUUGUACGUAAAACAGUUUACAAAAUAUUUUUCCAAAUUUGUUUUAAAGGCAACAAAAGCAAAAUAUUUGACAGAUGUUGCCUUGCCUUAAUUUUUUUUAUUUUGUUUGUUUCAUAAAUGUGACUUUAGGUUUCAUUUAAAUCCCUUCAACAUUUCCACUUAGUUUUCAGAAGGUUAGUACAUAUUCUUGAAUUCACAGAUUUUUUUUUUCAGGGCCACACCUGAGGCAUGUGGAAGUUCCCAGGCUAGGGGUCAAAUCAGAGCUACAGCUGCUGGCCUAUGCUACAGCCAGAGCCAUAGCAACAUGGGAUCCAAGCCGCAUCUGUGACCUACACCACAGCUUACUGGGCAAGGCCAGGGAUUGAACCUGCAUCUUCAUGGAUACCAGUUGGAUUCAUUUCCACUGCACCACAAUGGGAACUCCCACAGGCUUUUUUUUUUUUUUAAGGCAGAAAGUUGCAAGGGGAGUUUUUUGAAGUUUAUUAAGGAAGAUGUUCAUAAACAGUUGAAUAAAAAUGUAGAACAAUCAGAUGAAACAAAGGCUAUGUGCACAGAUUGCAAUGAGUUAAUAAUACUUACUUCUUAAUGCACCUAUUUGAAAAAGAAAAGAAGAACCAAUUCAUUCAAAAUGAAGGACUAGGAGUUCCAGUUGUGGCUCAGCAGGUUAAGAAUCUGACUAACUAGUAUCCUUGAGGAUGUGGGUUUGAUCCUUGGCCUUGCUCAGUGGGUUAAAGGAUCCAGCAUUGCUGUACACUGCCAUGUAGGUUGGAGAUAGGGCCCAGAUCCUGCAUUGCUGUGGCUGUGGCAUGGGUUGGCAGCUGCAGCUCUGUUUUGACCCCUAGCCUGGGAACUUCCUUAUGCUGCAGGUAUAGCCCUAACAAAGAAAAAAUGAAAGGAAGGAAGGAAGGAAGAAAGAAAGAAAAGACAGACAGGCCAAUAUUAGGAAGAGAGGAGGAAAAAGUUGAAACACGUCUGCAUUUUUCUCUCUGGAGCAAAAUUACCUAUAUUCUGAGCCCUGGAAAGAAAAUUCCAAAAGCCUCUUCACCAACUGUAAUAAUUCUGAUUUUAUCUCCUGCUUUCUGUGAAAAAUACGUUGUCUUAUUCCAAGACAAAUGGAAUAAGAUUUUUUUUUAGGAAAGCUGUUUUUUUUUAAUAUUACUCAAUGAAUUUAUUACAUUUAUAGCUGUAGUGAUAUAGCAUUUCCAUCCUAAACCCCCAGCAUCCCCUCACUCGCCCAAUCUCUCUCCUUGGGAAACCAUAAGUUUUUCAAAGUCUGUGAGUCAGUAUCUGUUCUGCAAAGAAGUUCAUUGUGUCCUUUUUUCAGUGGAAUAAGAUUUUAUCUGGAAUAUCCAAUGCCAAUUACUCAUCUUGCUUGGACUUGCUACCAUUAUGAAAAUAAAAUGCAAAUCUACAUAUUUAUAUCUAUAUAUGUAUAUGAAUGACAGAUCAUUCAAAAGUUAAUAAGCAUGCGGUAGUGGCAGUUAUCCACCAAUAAUUAUACAUUAGCAUUAUUCAUAUCACAUGUGCUAUAUAAAUUAAUGUGAUAUAUUCAUAAAUUCUAAUCCCUGUAAAAACAUAAGUAAAAUUAAAUGUCCCUUUUAUACUCACUUUCUUGAGCAUUAUCUAAGGGAUGUGGAAUUUUGUCAAAAGCCUUUUACGCAACUAUUGAGAUUAUCAUAAAAUUUUCCUUCAUUUUGUUAAUAUGAUGUAUCAUAUUGAUUGUCUUGUAGAUGUUGAACCAUCCUUGCAUCACUGGGAUAAUCCUAUUUGAUCAUAAUAUAUAAUUCUUUGAUGUAUUAUUUAAUUUGGUUUGCUAAUAUAUUGUUGUGGAUUUUUGUGUCUAUGAUCAUUAGGAAUAUUGCCCUCUAAUUUUUUUUUCCUAGUGGUGUCCUUGUCUGGUUUUGGUACCUCUGUUUUGCUAACCUCAUAAAAUGAAUUUGGAAGUGUUCC
rnacentral:lncRNA from 1 species